GCUCCGGGGCGCCCCCGAGCCCCGCGCACGAGGCUGGACCGCCGCGUUCCCUGGCGCGCGGUGCGCAGCUCCGCUCCCGAGGCCCCGACCAGCCGCCAGGUGGCCCGGUUUCUCAGCUCUGUGCCCAAGGAGCAGAAAAGCGGGCGAAGCAGCCAGUGGGGCAGCUGGCCGGUCAAGGUGCUAACAGAGUACUCAAGGGAGGUGAUAAGGCCAGUGGGGAGAAACUAUCUACAGUCUUUGCACCUGUCUGCACAGCUAAGGCUGUGAGGGAAGAUUUCCCAAGUUGAGCCAUUCUUUGUAGGUGACAACUCUGAAGAACUGUCUAAGAUUGAGGUGGCAUUAGAGGAGGUUUUGGAACAAAUUGAUAAAAUUAAACAGCAAUAAGUCACCAGGACGAGAUGGUAUUCGUCCAAGAGUUCUGAAGGAACUCAAAUGUGAAAUUGCAGGACUACUAACUGUGCUGCUACACAAUCUCCACACCAUUAAGAAGCCAGAAGGCCUCACUGGACAACCAAGAUGCAAUACACAGGGACUUGUCUGUGGGGUUCAUUCAUACUACCCAUGAUGGACAAUAGCAGAUUUCCUACAUAGGGAAGUUAAAUCGCCGCUGGAGUCCUGGGCAGCGCUGGCCGGGCAGCGUGGAAGGGCUGGCUGGGAGAUGCUGCCCCCAGCCCUGCCCCUUCUGCCCCAGCCCCCAUACCAAGGGAGGCGGAGCAAUGCAGGACCUUCACCAGAGUGGAGCAGCAUUCAUCUAAACACUGGCAAACAUCCUACCUGCACUCCAGAAAAACUGAAAUUUGGCCACUUACUGGUAUGGGAGGAGGUUCAGAAGUGCACACAACUGGAAAACAUGAGUAUGAGCACUGGUGGCAACGUAUUUGGUAAAAUACCAUUAUGAAAGAGUGUUUGAAGAAGGAAUCCACACACAGAAGUUUGUCAGUUUUAAAAGUGAGUGGGAAGUAUAACUUCCAAUUUUAUUUGUUUCCAGGAUUUCAUACACCAAAUUAAAAUAUAGAUUUAAGUUACUAAAUACAUGAAUAUGUAGAGAGAAGCAACAGGGCAUUUAGUUUUGAUUCUUUUCUGUACUCAAUAUACUUUACUUUUAAAAUUGAGCUUUCAAGAAGACAAGAAAUCUAAAUGCUUCAGUGCACUUGUUUUUAUGUACAUAGAUUUAAUUCCAACAUUUGUACACUACACAUUUUAAUACCAAAUCAAGGAGACCAUGAUGCUGUACAAAAAGACCAACUGGAGUUGUUUCUUCAGAUCAAAUUUUCCUCUGAUUUUCCUCUUGUAAUAGUAGACAAGUGGCUAUUGCAAGAGGAUUAAAGCACAAAAGGAUAAAUGUUUGCUCAGUCUUUUGGAGUCAUUAAAGAGCAGAUACUAUAAGUGUAAUAAUUGUGUGAAAUAAAAGGAAAAAAUGCAUCUUUGAGUGGAAAGUUUUCUGACGCUACCAACUGGGAGUUCAUUUCUAACAUUCUUGGCUAAAACAUUGGUCCAAUUAAAGUCAAAGGAAUUUUACUAUUGAGUAUAGUGGGGUUAAGGUGACCAGAUAGCAACUGUGAAAAAACAGGACAGGAGGUGGGGGUAAUAGGCACUUAUAUAAG